CCUACGGGAGGCAGCAGUAGGGAAUUUUCGUCAAUGGGCGCAAGCCUGAACGAGCAAUGCCGCGUGAACGAGGAAGGUCUUCGGAUCGUAAAGUUCUGUUGAAGGGGAAAAAGAGCGGAGAGAGGAAAUGAACUCCGAUUGAUAUUACCCUUCGAGGAAGUCACGGCUAACUACGUGCCAGCAGCCGCGGUAAUACGUAGGUGGCGAGCGUUAUACGGAAUGAUUGGGCGUAAAGGGUGCGUAGGCGGCCUGCUAAGUCUGGAGUGAAAGGUACCGGCUCAAGCGGUAUAGGCUCUGGACACUGGCGGGCUAGAGAGCAGGAGAGGGCGGUGGAACUCCAUGUGUAGCGGUAAAAGGCGUAGAUAUAUGGAAGAACACCAGUGGCGAAGGCGGCCGCCUGGCCUGUUACUGACGCUGAGGCACGAAAGCGUGGGGAGCAAAUAGGAUUAGAUACCCGGGUAGUC
rnacentral:rRNA from 1 species